rnacentral:rRNA from 1 species
UCGACGACUUCCGUUAUUGAUGAUGACGUGCUUGCACUGAAUGAGAUUUUAACACGAAGUGAGUGGCGGACGGGUGAGUAACACGUGGGUAACCUGCCCAGAAGCAGGGGAUAACACCUGGAAACAGAUGCUAAUACCGUAUAACAGAGAAAACCGCCUGGUUUUCUUUUAAAAGAUGGCUCUGCUAUCACUUCUGGAUGGACCCGCGGCGCAUUAGCUAGUUGGUGAGGUAACGGCUCACCAAGGCGAUGAUGCGUAGCCGACCUGAGAGGGUAAUCGGCCACAUUGGGACUGAGACACGGCCCAGACUCCUACGGGAGGCAGCAGUAGGGAAUCUUCCACAAUGGACGCAAGUCUGAUGGAGCAACGCCGCGUGAGUGAAGAAGGGUUUCGGCUCGUAAAGCUCUGUUGUUAAAGAAGAACGUGGGUGAGAGUAACUGUUCACCCAGUGACGGUAUUUAACCAGAAAGCCACGGCUAACUACGUGCCAGCAGCCGCGGUAAUACGUAGGUGGCAAGCGUUAUCCGGAUUUAUUGGGCGUAAAGCGAGCGCAGGCGGUCUUUUAAGUCUAAUGUGAAAGCCUUCGGCUCAACCGAAGAAGUGCAUUGGAAACUGGGAGACUUGAGUGCAGAAGAGGACAGUGGAACUCCAUGUGUAGCGGUGAAAUGCGUAGAUAUAUGGAAGAACACCAGUGGCGAAGGCGGCUGUCUGGUCUGUACUGACGCUGAGCUCGAAAGCAUGGGUAGCGACACGAACAGGAUUUAGAUACCCUGGUAGUCAUGCCGUAAACGAUGAUUACUAAGUGUGGAGGGUUUCGCCUCAGUGCUGCAGCUAACGCAUUAAGUAAUCCGCCUGGGGAGUACGACCGCAAGGUUGAAACUCAAAAGAAUUGACGGGGGCCCGCACAAGCGGUGGAGCAUGUGGUUUAAUUCGAAGCUACGCGAAGAACCUUACCAGGUCUUGACAUCUUCUGCCAACCUAAGAGAUUAGGCGUUCCCUUCGGGGACAGAAUGACAGGUGGUGCAUGGUUGUCGUCAGCUCGUGUCGUGAGAUGAAAAAAAAAGUCCCGCAACGAGCGCAACCCUUAUUACUAGUUGCCAGCAUUCAGUUGGGCACUCUAGUGAGACUGCCGGUGACAAACCGGAGGAAGGUGGGGACGACGUCAAAUCAUCAUGCCCCUUAUGACCUGGGCUACACACGUGCUACAAUGGAUGGUACAACGAGUUGCGAAACCGCGAGGUUUAGCUAAUCUCUUAAAACCAUUCUCAGUUCGGACUGUAGGCUGCAACUCGCCUACACGAAGUCGGAAUCGCUAGUAAUCGCGGAUCAGCAUGCCGCGGUGAAUACGU